rnacentral:lncRNA from 1 species
CAAAACAAACAAGCAAUUUCAGUACCUACCACGGCACACCAUCAAGUUGAUAACCUUAAAAAGGUUGGCCGGAUUAGAUGCCCUAGCCAUUAUAGAGGAACGCUUUGGCCGAGGGUCGUCGCCUUAUCAUAAGAAGCCAGCUCCAUACCAAUACUAUCAGGAACCAUGUGAGCCUUACUUUAGAAUCUACCGUCCCCCGGCCAGUACCGAAGCUAUGAGUUGCAGGAGGCAGGAGGGCAGCUGAAAACAUGGCGGGAAACUGAUUAAGGAUCAUGGCCACAUAAGUAAACCUUGUAGUCGGGGUUAUAUCUAUAAUUAACUUGGUUACCUUAGCUGCUUCUUUAUCUGCUGUUUUUUCAGUAUAACAGUAACAGCACUAAAACUACUGUUAGGCCUUCUCAGCCGAGAGUAGUUAC